rnacentral:hammerhead_ribozyme from 1 species
AUUCAGCUGAAGAGUCCCAAACAGGACGAAACGCGCGUCCUGGGU